rnacentral:rRNA from 1 species
AACGUAGGUGGCAAGCGUUAUCCGGAAUGAUUGGGCGUAAAGCGUCUGCAGGUGGCAGUUCAAGUCUGCUGUCAAAGACCGGGGCUUAACUUCGGAAAGGCAGUGGAAACUGAACAGCUAGAGUAUGGUAGGGGCAGAGGGAAUUCCUGGUGUAGCGGUGAAAUGCGUAGAGAUCAGGAAGAACAUCGGUGGCGAAGGCGCUCUGCUGGACCAUAACUGACACUCAGGGACGAAAGCUAGGGGAGCGAAUGGG